UACGGAGGGUGCAAGCGUUAUCCGGAUUCACUGGGUUUAAAGGGUGUGCAGGCGGGUGUUUAAGUCAGUGGUGAAAUCUCCAGGCUCAACCUGGAAACUGCCAUUGAUACUAUUCAUCUUGAAUUCUGUUGAGGUGGGCGGAAUAUAUCAUGUAGCGGUGAAAUGCUUAGAUAUGAUAUAGAACACCGAUUGCGAAGGCAGCUCACUAAACAGCGAUUGACGCUGAGGCACGAAAGCGUGGGGAUCAAACAGGG
rnacentral:rRNA from 1 species